UUUAGAUCUGGACUUCUCUUAUCUCUCUGGCCCUCAGAGUGGGACUGAAUUAUACCAUCAUUUCAUGGGUCUCAAGUACUCGCUUCAGCAGCACAUGUAUUAUGGGUCUCCAGCUUGCAUAAAGCAGGAUCACUUCAGGUGCCAUGAUCAGAAUAGGCUGAAAGGAAAAAGGCAAUAAGUCAGGGUGGCACCUAAAAAACAAGUAUCAACACAUCCUGGAAAAUGACAGUGGAAUAAACUCAAGAAAGUAGCCCCAGUCGAAGUUGCUAUGACAAAAUGGUAUUCUUCCUAGAGACAACUAAUACAGACUCAAAUAUAAGAAAUGAAGCCACUGAACUGGCAAAUGUGUUUUUUUCCCUUUCCUAUCAAGAAAGACUGGAAACAUUCACAUAUGCUCAGGAUGGACAAAAAUACAUAUUAACUAGUCUUCCCCAGGGUUAUGUUAACUCUACUGCCCUCUAUCAUAAUAUAGCUCUCAAAGACAAAGGCCAUAAGGACACUCCACAGAACAUCACAUUGACUCACUCACUGUAUCAGCGAGAAAGAAGUAGCUAUUAUACUGGAGACCUUAUUUAUGCACAUCUCCAAAGAGUGGAAGAUAAUUCUAUAAAG